CCGCUGAAAUGACGGCAUUGGAUCCAGUUUCUUAAGGACUUAACAGAGUUGGGGAAUUAGCUGCAAACCGCCAACAUGCCGUCCAAGCCUGCCCCCAUCAAGAAGGCGGCCAAGAAGGAGCCAGCCAAGAAGGAGGAGAAGGCUGCGGAGCCGGCUCCUGCGGCCCCAGAGCCCGCUGCUGCUGAGCCAGCCCCGGCUGAAGCAGCUCCGGCUGAAGCUGCUCCGGCUGAAGUGGCCCCUGCUGCCGAGGGAGAGGCUGCUGCUGCUCCGGCAGCUGAGGAGCCACCCAAAGAUGCUGCCGCUCCCGCUACAGAGGAAGGUGCCCCAGCUGAGGCCCCUGCUGAUGCUGCUGCUGCCGCUCCAGCCGCAGAAGAAGGUGCUCCCGCUGCUGACUCCGAAGCGCCCGCUGAUGCUGAAGCUGCCGAAGCCGCUGCACCAGAGGAGCCUAAACCACCCACCCCUCCACCACCUCCACCUCCAGAGCCCACAAGUGUCCCGUUGGAACUGUUCGUUGAGGAUAAGAACGACACCUCAGUCAGCAUCAUCUGGAGCCAGCCGGAGGUCGUCGGCGCGUCCGGUCUGGAUGGAUACACCAUUGAAAUUUGCAAGGACGGAACCGAGGACUGGAAAGCAGUCAACGAGGAGCUGCAUAAGUCCACCCGCUACGUGAUCAAGAACCAGACCACCGGUGACCGUCUGAAGAUCCGCGUGGUGGCUGUGAACGCCGGCGGCCGCAGCACCCCCCUCGCCCUCGCCGAGGCUGUCCUGGUGAAGGAGGUCGCCGAUCGUCCCAAGGUCCGCCUGCCACGUUUCCUCAGGCAGAGAUACGUCGCUUACGUUGGAGAUAAGAUCAACCUGACCAUCCCCUUCACAGGUAAACCCAAACCUGUGGUCUCCUGGUUAAAGAACGGAGAGCCCGUGGACACAAAGAGGGUGAACAUCCGCAGCACCGACAAAGACAGCAUCCUGUUUAUCCGUACGUCCGAGAGAGAUGACUCUGGCGUGUACGAGAUGUGUGUAAAGGUGGAGGACUUCGACGACAAGGCUUCACUCAUCCUGCAAAUUGUUGAGCUGCCAGGACCUCCCGCCUCUGUGAAGAUUGUGGAUACCUGGGGCUUCAACGUUGCUCUGGAGUGGACUCCACCCAAAGACACCGGAAACACAGACAUCACUGGUUACACAGUCCAGAAGGCCGAUAAAAAGACUGGAGACUGGUUCACUGUGAUGGAGCACUACCAUAGACUGAAUGCCACCAUCUCUGACCUCAUCAUGGGCAAUACCUACAAGUUCAAAGUGUUUACUGAAAACAAGUGUGGAAUGAGCGAGGACGCUACUGUUGCAAAGGAUGAGGCCAAAAUCUUGAAGACGGGUAUCGAGUACAAGCCGCCAGAGUACCAUGAGCGCGACUUCACCGAGGCGCCCAAGUUCACCACCCCCAUGACUGACAGAGCCACCACCGUCGGCUACAACACCAAGCUGCUGUGCUCCGUCAGGGGAUGCCCAAAACCCAAGGUUAUAUGGAUGAAGAACCAGAUGAUUAUUGGAGACGACCCCAAGUACAGGCAGCUGUGCAUCCAGGGUAUCUGCUCUCUGGAGAUCCGUAAGCCCGGUAACUUUGACGGCGGUGUGUACUCCUGCAAAGCCAAGAACGAUCACGGAGAAGCAGUGGUCAGCUGCAAGCUGGAGGUCAAACAGCCGGCGGCGCCCGCAGAUGCAGAGAAGAAAUAAGUCAACAUUCACAUUCUCACAGGAGCAGAAGGAAUGAGGCCUUUGCAGCAUAAGGAAGGUGCUGGAUUCCUGGAAGAACAUGUAUAUAUGGCUGGUGACCACACUUCCGAAGGGUUGUUGCCUGUGACCUCUUGCCGAGUGUUACCCUGUGUUGUUAUGAUGAACAAUUGUUGUCGCUUUGUGCCUUUAUCGUUCACUACAUUAUUUAAGUCCAUAUCCAUGUCCACAACCAGCUUUUUCCACCAACGAUACUGUCUCUAUGGUAACUAACUUAUCAUCAUCUCAUCAGUCUAACUAGGUGCACACCAAGACUUCUGCAACAGGAUUUUACUGUUCCUCAUAGGAGAACUACAUGUAACAUCUACGUGUUUAUAUCAAUAAAUCAUUUUAUUUCUGGU